rnacentral:rRNA from 1 species
AUGAACGCUGGCGGCGUGCCUCAUACAUGCAAGUCGAGCGAACAGACGAGGAGCUUGCUCCUCUGACGUUAGCGGCGGACGGGUGAGUAACACGUGGAUAACCUACCUAUAAGACUGGGAUAACUUCGGGAAACCGGAGCUAAUACCGGAUAAUAUAUUGAACCGCAUGGUUCAAUAGUGAAAGACGGUUUUGCUGUCACUUAUAGAUGGAUCCGCGCCGCAUUAGCUAGUUGGUAAGGUAACGGCUUACCAAGGCGACGAUGCGUAGCCGACCUGAGAAGGUGAUCGGCCACACUGGAACUGAGACACGGUCCAGACUCCUACGGGAGGCAGCAGUAGGGAAUCUUCCGCAAUGGGCGAAAGCCUGACGGAGCAACGCCGCGUGAGUGAUGAAGGUCUUCGGAUCGUAAAACUCUGUUAUUAGGGAAGAACAAAUGUGUAAGUAACUAUGCACGUCUUGACGGUACCUAAUCAGAAAGCCACGGCUAACUACGUG